CAACCGCGGUUAAACGAAUAGCCCUAGUUGAUAGCAUCACGGCGUAAAGGGUGGUUAGGAGAAACAAAAAUAAAGUUAAAUGACCCCUUGGCUGUCAUACGCUUCUAGGAGUCCGAAGCCCAAACACGAAAGUUACUUUAACAAAACUAUCCGACCCCACGAAAACUGAGAAACAAACUGGGAUUAGAUACCCCACUAUGCUCAGUCGUAAACAAAGACAUACAUAUACAAUAAUGUCCGCCAGGGUAUUACGAGCAUCAGCUUAAAAUCCAAAGGACCUGACGGUGCCUUAGACCCCCCUAGAGGAGCCUGUUCUAGAACCGAUAAUCCCCGUUAAACCUCACCAUUUCUGGCCAACCCAGCCUAUAUACCACCGUCGCCAGCUUACCCUAUGAGGGAACAAAAGUAAGCAAAAAGAGCACUGCCCAAAACGUCAGGUCAAGGUGUAGCGAACGAAAUGGGAAGAAAUGGGCUACAUUUUCUACAACAGAAUAUUACGAACACGCAAUAUGAAACUAAUGCUUGAAGGAGGAUUUAGUAGUAAAAAGGAAAUAGAGUGUCCUUUUGAACCCGGCCCUGAGGCACGUACACACCGCCCGUCACUCUCUCCCGUCACAGCGCACACAACCUACUUAACACAAAAGCACCGACAAGGGGAGGCAAGUCGUAACAAG
rnacentral:rRNA from 1 species